UACGUAGGUGGCAAGCGUUAUCCGGAAUUAUUGGGCGUAAAGCGCGCGCAGGCGGUUUCUUAAGUCUGAUGUGAAAGCCCACGGCUCAACCGUGGAGGGUCAUUGGAAACUGGGGAACUUGAGUGCAGAAGAGAAAAGCGGAAUUCCACGUGUAGCGGUGAAAUGCGUAGAGAUGUGGAGGAACACCAGUGGCGAAGGCGGCUUUUUGGUCUGUAACUGGCGCUGAGGCGCGAAAGCGGUGGGGAGCAAACAGG
rnacentral:rRNA from 1 species